UGCCAGACUCCUACGGGAGGCAGCAGUGGGGAAUAUUGCACAAUGGGGGGAACCCUGAUGCAGCGACGCCGCGUGAGUGAAGAAGUAUUUCGGUAUGUAAAGCUCUAUCAGCAGGGAAGAAGAUGACGGUACCUGACUAAGAAGCCCCGGCUAACUACGUGCCAGCAGCCGCGGUAAUACGUAGGGGGCAAGCGUUAUCCGGAUUUACUGGGUGUAAAGGGAGCGUAGACGGCGAUGCAAGCCAGAUGUGAAAGCCCGCGGCUCAACUGCGGUAGUGCAUUUGGAACUGUAUGGCUGGAGUGCAGGAGAGGCAGGCGGAAUUCCUAGUGUAGCGGUGAAAUGCGUAGAUAUUAGGAGGAACACCAGUGGCGAAGGCGGCCUGCUGGACUGUAACUGACGUUGAGGCUCGAAAGCGUGGGGAGCAAACAGGAUUAGAUACCCUUGUAA
rnacentral:rRNA from 1 species